rnacentral:rRNA from 1 species
UACGUAGGUGGCAAGCGUUGUCCGGAUUUAUUGGGUUUAAAGGGAGCGUAGGUGGCCUUAUAAGUCAGUGGUGAAAUCUCUGGGCUUAACCCAGAAAUUGCCAUUGAUACUGUAGGGCUUGAGUAUAGUUGCCGUUGGCGGAAUAUGACAUGUAGUGGUGAAAUACAUAGAGAUGUCAUAGAACACCGAUUGCGAAGGCAGCUGACGAAACUAUAACUGACACUGAGGCUCGAAAGUGCGGGGAUCAAACAGG